rnacentral:misc_RNA from 1 species
CCCUAGCCCUGAUCGGAGCAUUUGUUUGAGCUCAUUUUCUGGGUUUCUGCGCGGCGGCUUUGCCGCCGCGCAGAAACCCAGAAAAUAGCGAGUGCGGAGAGCAGGAAAAAGC